UUACUUUACUUUCUUUUCUUUUUUUAUUCUUCCUCUUCCUCUCUUUUCUAUGUGCUUUAUCUUAUAUGCUUGAGUAAUCUUCGAGACGGCAGUGUUAAAAGCAGACACGACGUGAAAACCAAAUGAAAAUGAAUCUAU
rnacentral:ribozyme from 13 species